AUCGGUUAGCGGUUUUUUUGCCC
rnacentral:siRNA from 1 species